rnacentral:sRNA from 1 species
UCCAUGUAUACAACCUUCGAGGAUGAUGC